AACGAACGUUGGCGGCGUGGAUUAGGCAUGCAAGUCGUACGGGACCUGAGGGCUUGCUCUCAGGUUUAGUGGCGAACGGGUGAGUAGCGCGUGGGAAACCUGCCCUCGAGUUGGGAUAACACUCCCAACGGGUGCUAAUACCGGAUAAGACCACGAAAUCGCAUGGUUUUGAGGUCAAAGGUGGGGACCCGAAAGGGCCUACCGCUUGAGGAUGGUCCCGCGUCCCAUUAGCUUGUUGGUGGGGUAAUGGCCUACCAAGGCUGCGAUGGGUAGCUGGUCUGAGAGGAUGGUCAGCCACACUGGGACUGAGAUAACGGCCCAGACUCCUACGGGGAGGCAGCAGUCGAGAGGCUUCGGCAAUGGGGGAAA
rnacentral:rRNA from 1 species